GCCAGCAGCCGCGGUAAUACAGAGGGUGCAAGCGUUAAUCGGAAUUACUGGGCGUAAAGGGAGCGUAGGUGGCUCGAUAAGUCAGAUGUGAAAUCCCCGGGCUCAACCUGGGAACUGCAUCUGAUACUGUUGAGCUAGAGUAUGUGAGAGGAAGGUAGAAUUCCAGGUGUAGCGGUGAAAUGCGUAGAGAUCUGGAGGAAUACCGAUGGCGAAGGCAGCCUUCUGGCAUAAUACUGACACUGAGGCUCGAAAGCGUGGGUAGCAAACAGGAUUAGAUACCCKGGUAGUCC
rnacentral:rRNA from 1 species